AUUGAGCGCUGGCGGAAUGCUUUACACAUGCAAGUCGAACGAUGAAGUCUAGCUUGCUAGACGGAUUAGUGGCGAACGGGUGAGUAAUAUAUCGGAACGUAUCCAUUAAUGGGGGAUAACUAGUCGAAAGAUUGGCUAAUACCGCAUACGUCCUACGGGAGAAAGCUGGGGAUCGUAAGACCUGGCGUUAAUGGAGCGGCCGAUAUCUGAUUAGCUAGUUGGUGAGGUAAAGGCUCACCAAGGCGACGAUCAGUAGCUGGUCUGAGAGGACGACCAGCCACACCGGAACUGAGACACGGUCCAGACUCCUACGGGAGGCAGCAGUGGGGAAUCUUGCGCAAUGGGGGAAACCCUGACGCAGCAACGCCGCGUGAGUGAUGAAGGUCUUCGGAUCGUAAAGCUCUGUCGGUAGGAACGAUGGAUUUUAUGGCUAACAUCCAUGAGAUCUGACGGUACCUGCAAAGGAAGCACCGGCUAACUCUGUGCCAGCAGCCGCGGUAAGAC
rnacentral:rRNA from 1 species